AGUGAACGCUGGCGGUAGGCCUAACACAUGCAAGUCGAACGGCAGCACAGUAAGAGCUUGCUCUUACGGGUGGCGAGUGGCGGACGGGUGAGGAAUACAUCGGAAUCUACUUUUUCGUGGGGGAUAACGUAGGGAAACUUACGCUAAUACCGCAUACGACCUACGGGUGAAAGCAGGGGAUCUUCGGACCUUGCGCGAUUGAAUGAGCCGAUGUCGGAUUAGCUAGUUGGCGGGGUAAAGGCCCACCAAGGCGACGAUCCGUAGCUGGUCUGAGAGGAUGAUCAGCCACACUGGAACUAAGACACGGUCCAGACUCCUACGGGAGGCAGCAGUGGGGAAUAUUGGACAAUGGGCGCAAGCCUGAUCCAGCCAUACCGCGUGGGUGAAGAAGGCCUUCGGGUUGUAAAGCCCUUUUGUUGGGAAAGAAAAGCAGCAGGUUAAUACCCCGCUGUUCUGACGGUACCCAAAGAAUAAGCACCGGCUAACUUCGU
rnacentral:rRNA from 1 species